rnacentral:tRNA from 1 species
GUGAGUAUAGUUCAGUGGUAGAGUGCAUGUUUAGUAUGUAUGAGGUCCUGGGUUCAAUCCCUAGAACUUCCA